UGGUCCAUCCUAAUCCCUGCUGGUCAGCCUGUGACCAGUCAGGCUUCGCUUGUGGACCAGAGCAUCACAGAAGCCCUACCAGAGUUGUGUGAGACCUCUGUGGGCUUAUGCCAGUGGUACUUCUGGACACAU
ensembl:snoRNA